GGAUACAUGUCUUGCGUGACUAAGAGUGGGGAUACAUCAUACAUGUCUUGCGUGACUGGGAGUGGGGAUACAUGUCUUGUGCGACUGAGAGUGGGGAUACAUUGGGAUACAUGUCUUGCGCGAUUGCGAGUGGGGAUGCAUGUCUUGCGCGACUGAGAGUGGGGAUACAUGUCUUGCGUGACUGAGAGUGGGAAUACAUGUCUUGCGUAACUGAGAGUGGGGAUACAUGUCUUGCGCGACUGAGAGUGGGGAUACAUGUCUUGCGUGACUGAGAGUGGGGACACAUCAUACAUGUCUUGCGUGACUGGGAGUGGGGA